AUUGAACGCUGGCGGCAGGCCUAACACAUGCAAGUCGAGCGAGCGGCGGACGGGUGAGUAAUGUCUGGGAAACUGCCUGAUGGAGGGGGAUAACUACUGGAAACGGUAGCUAAUACCGCAUACCAUCAGAUGUGCCCAGAUGGGAUUAGCUAGUAGGUGGGGUAACGGCCCACCUAGGCGACGAUCCCUAGCUGGUCUGAGAGGAUGACCAGCCACACUGGAACUGAGACACGGUCCAGACUCCUACGUGAGGCAGCGAUGGAGAAUAUUGAACAAUGGGCGCAAGCCUGAUGCAGCCAUGCCGCUUGUGUGAUGAAGGCCUUCGGGUUGUAAAGCACUUUCAGCGGGGAGGCGUUACCCGCAGAAGAAGCACCGGCUAACUCCGUGCCAGCCACCGCGGUAAUAC
rnacentral:rRNA from 1 species